GCGGUGCCAGCAGGAUCUCAGCACCCUCCUCUACCACGAUGCCCGUGCGGAAGUUGAGCACCAGAUCCAUCAGGAAGAAAGUGUCAGAGAGGACAUUGAAGACAAUCCAAGGUGGAGAGUUCUCUUCCUUGAAGAAGCACUUCGGCAGGGCUGCACACACAGAGAAGCUCCACAGCAGAUCCUGAGACAGCAAAGCUUGAAGCUCUGCACUCCUUUCCUCCCCUAACCUCCCUGUGCCCACUGAGACUUUGGUUGAGCCCAAGCAAGGGCAUGGUCAGGGGAGAGCCAUACUGUUGUGUGGAAGCUGUGAAAAGAAGAGGUCAUUCAAAGAAGAUCGUUGGACAAUCUGAAGGUCCCAAUCAGAUACGGCAGUUUCAAUUUCAGGACACACCUAGUUGCAGCAUCAACCAAGGACCCAGCCCCUUCUGACUCUGACUGAAAAAAAUCAAUCCUUUCAGCCCCUGGAUGAAGCUUGGUGGUCCCCAAGCCCAGGCCUCCAGGAAGCCCUGUGUGAUUUCAAUCAACAGCAAACCCUGGAUCUCCUCUUCUUCUCUUUCCUGGCCACUGGAGAAAUCCUGUACUGUAAGCUGGGAGAGGAGAGGGAAAGAGGGUUUGCCUUGCCAUAGAGCAUCUUCACAGCCUGACUCACAGGCAGUCACAAGCCUGGCGGGUGAUACAGGAGAGAGGAUGGAGAAGAAGCACAAUAAUAACCGGGAUACAUGGUUUAUGGGGAUACAUUUGAGAGUGAAAUGGAGGGGGGGGAGAAGGGAGAUGUACAGCAGACUAGAAAAGGUGCACUUAUAGGGUGAUAUUGAGACAGUAAAAAAGAAGGAAGUGAAAGGAACAAUGAAAGAAAGAAGAACAUUAAGGGAGUGUGUAUGUCUGUGGAUUAAAAUGACGUCUAGGUUUCCAA